GGAUAUUCAAAACAUUGGUCUUCACCUGCCGCCGCACUCCGAUAGCUCAGCUGGCUACACGUGCCGCACCAGCUGACUCGCCACUCUUCAAUCCUUUAGAUCGGCCAUACCCCUCCUCCAUUCCACCGGUGCGUGGUCCUCAUGCACCACUUUAGAGGCGUGGGUUGACUGUUCCUCCUCUGCAGAUCUGCCCUUCCCCUGCCGUUCUAUUUGGGUUAUUGCUUUCCCUAACCGGUGAUCUUGUGAGAGAGACUAAGGACUUCACCAACAAAUAUCUCAAAACUUUCAACUACAGUGCAU